rnacentral:tRNA from 1 species
GGCUGUAGCUCAGUGAUAGAGCACUUGCCUAAAGUGGGUGAGGCACUGGGUUCAAUCCUCAGCACCA